AUUGAACGCUGGCGGCAGGCUUAACACAUGCAAGUCGAGCGAGCGGCGGACGGGUGAGUAAUGUCUGGGAAACUGCCUGAUGGAGGGGGAUAACUACUGGAAACGGUAGCUAAUACCGCAUACCAUCAGAUGUGCCCAGAUGGGAUUAGCUAGUAGGUGGGGUAAUGGCUCACCUAGGCGACGAGCCCUAGCUGGUCUGAGAGGAUGACCAGCCCGACUGGAAGUGAGACACGGUCCAGGCUCCUACGGGAGGCAGCAGUGGGGAAUAUUGCACCAUGGGCGCAAGCCUUAUGCAGCCAUGCCGCGUGUGUGAGGAAGGCCUUCGGGUUGUAAAGCACUUUCAGCGAGGAGGCGUUACUCGCAGAAUAAGCACCGGCUAACUCCGUGCCAGCAGCCGCGGUAAUUC
rnacentral:rRNA from 1 species